UACGUAGGGACGAGCGUUGUCCGGAAUUACUGGGCGUAAAGGGCGCGCAGGCGGUAUAUCAAGUCAGCUGUCAAAGACUGGGGCUCAACCCUGGUAUGCGGUUGAAACUGAUGUACUGGAGUGCUGUAGAGGCGAGUGGAAUUCCGAGUGUAGAGGUGAAAUGCGUAGAGAUCGGGAGGAACACCAGUGGCGAAGGCGGGUAACUGGACUGCAACUGACGCUGAGGCGCGAAGGUGUGGGGAGCAAACAGGAUUAGAUACCCGGGUA
rnacentral:rRNA from 1 species